GAAGUUUUUAGUGUUAGAAGAUGUUCAGAGCUACCCUGAUGGGUGCACAGGAGUUAGCAAAAGAAGAGUGUGGAAAGGGGAUCCAGGAAGAGGAUCAGCACGUGGAAGCCUCAGAGGGAGGUGGCUUAAGCGAUUCACACUAGCAUUUUAUAGAAAUCAUCAUCUCAUGGAACGUAAGCACUACCAUCGAUAAGAUCAUCUGGAACAAAUGAAGAGUGGGGAAGGAAGCAAGAUGUAGGAGAAAGAAGAUGCGCCGUGAAUUCAGACAGACACCUGGGC